GAUCAUGGCUCAGGAUGAACGCUAGCUACAGGCUUAACACAUGCAAGUCGAGGGGCAUCAGGAAGAAAGCUUGCUUUCUUUGCUGGCGACCGGCGCACGGGUGAGUAACACGUAUCCAACCUACCCUUUACUCGGGGAUAGCCUUUCGAAAGAAAGAUUAAUACCCGAUGGCAUAAUGAUUCCGCAUGGUUUCAUUAUUAAAGGAUUUCCGGGUAAAAGGAUGGGGAUGCGUUCCAUUAGGUUGUUGUGAGG
rnacentral:rRNA from 1 species